rnacentral:snRNA from 8 species
AUCGCUUCUCGGCCUUUUGGCUCACAUCAAGUGUAGUAUCUGUUCUUAUCAGUUUAAUAUCUGAUG